rnacentral:rRNA from 1 species
UACAGAGGGUGCAAGCGUUAAUCGGAAUUACUGGGCGUAAAGGGCGCGUAGGUUGUUAUUUAAGUGAGAUGUGAAAUCCCCGGGCUCAACCUGGGAACUGCAUCUUAUACUGGAUAACUGGAGUGCAAUAGAGGGUAGUGGAAUUUCCGGUGUAGCGGUGAAAUGCGUAGAUAUCGGAAGGAACACCAGUGGCGAAGGCGGCUACCUGGAUUGACACUGACACUGAGGCGCGAGAGCGUGGGGAGCAAACAGG